rnacentral:tRNA from 1 species
UGAGGUAGUAGCUCAGUUGUAAGAGUGCUUGCCUAGCAUGGGUGAGAUCCUGGGUUUAAUCCCCAGACCACAA